UACGAAGGUCUCAAGCGUUAUCCGGAUUUAUUGGGUUUAAAGGGUGCGUAGGUGGGUUGGUAAGUCAGUGGUGAAAUCCCCGAGCUUAACUUGGGAACUGCCAUUGAUACUAUCAGUCUUGAAUACCGUGGAGGUCAGCUGGAAUAUGUCAUGUAGCGGUGAAAAUGCUUAGAUAUGACAUAGAACACCAAUUGCGAAGGCAGCUGGCUACUCGGAUAUUGACACUGAGGCACGAAAGCGUGGGGAUCAAACAGG
rnacentral:rRNA from 1 species